GCAGAAGCAGGCGCCCUGGCCCAAGGAGGAGGCCCUUCAGCAACGGAGUGGGCCUGCAUUCUGCGGAGGAUCUGGUAACCCUAGGUGCCUCCAGUUUGAGGGAGGAGAGAGGACACCCCCUCCAUCCCAGACAUGGGAAAGCAGUCCACCUGCGCACCAGGGGCAGGACACGUGGCUGGGUGCAGACGCGGGCCUGGAUGUCGCGGAGGACUCGCGGGCCGGCAGAGCGCGCGGCGGCGGCGGGAGGAGACGCAGGUCACGCCCCCUUCCCACCGCCUCCCGCCGCCUACGGUGCGCGCGCGCCGAGGAGCCCGGGACAGGUGACUCCUAGAGGACUGCGUCUGCGCCUCCCCCGGCGGGAGUCCCUUCUUCGCGGCCUCUGCCGCCCCCUGCGUCCCCUCCUGGGCUUCCGAGAGUCUGACUCAGCCAAGCCGGCAUCGCUUCGCCUCCUACAACUCACCCCCAGCGCAAGAAGAAAUUACAGGAUUGCAGGGGCACGGCUAAUGCGCUCUAAUUAUCCACCGCCGCUGUCAUCCGCGGCGCUCCGCGGCGCUGGGCCAACGCGCCGUAAUUAAGACGUGGCUCCCCGGUCCCGGAACCCUGCCUUCGCCACCCCCCACCCACCUCGCGGUCCCCAGGACCACUGGCUGCCGACUCCUGCCGCCCUCCGGGACUGCCCCUCAGUCCCAGGAGAGCUAUGAGGCCUCACUGUGGGCAGAACUUGGGGAGACCGAAGCCGGCCCUUCCACUUCCCUAAACCUACAGUCCUCGAAGGUCUCUGCUGGAAGAGACUGGGAGAGUGGGGAGGGGCCAGGGACCUAUUUCGUUGACAGAAACACUGAGGUCUAUU
rnacentral:sRNA from 1 species